UGAUAACAUGCCAAGUGACAUUUUUGUUCACGUCCGCUAUAUACAGCGUAGACAUGCACGUGGAUAGCUCAAAAUGUCUACUUAUACCACGCCACUUGGCUUAAGAAAGUUGGCCUGUAUGUUUAUGCAAAGUCAUGACUCUGUGUUGGCUCAGCAGCAC